rnacentral:tRNA from 1 species
GCGGCCAUAGCUCAGCUGGAGAGAGUGACGGACUACGAAUCCGUAGGUCGCAGGUUCGAAUCCUGCUGGCCGCGCCA